AGAAGAAGCUCCUGCAGAAAACAAAGAAGCCCCUUGCACCUGUGGAUCUUGCCAAGCUUGUGGACGCCGUGGGACUUGGUGAAUCAGCUGUGCGGGCGCUUGAUCGGGUCCUUGACAUUGGAGCCGCCACUUACCAUCAGCUGAACCAGGUGCUCCAGAAGCCUGAUGCAUGAAAUCGAGAUGACCACUGCGUGUUUUGCUUUGCCCUUUUCUGUUAGCAAACGGACUCUGAACCGAGGUUUCAUCCCUCGUCGCUCGCCUGCUCGCUCUAGUGUCACUUUUGUUGUCCCGUCUUCCCCCUAACCCCCCUCUCUUAGUUGUGUUGUUCCUAGAGCUAGAGUCUUUCAUGUUAGUUGUUAUGUUCGUCCCUCCCCCCCUGUUGUUCCAAUGCUGGUGUCCUCGUUUUCUUAUGAACUCUAAGAAUGUUUCGUUUAACCUCCUUUCCUGGAAUGCACGUGGUUUAGGUGACUCCA
rnacentral:lncRNA from 1 species